GCUGAUGGGUGGAUAAUCGCCCGUAACAGGGAGGAAAGUCCGGACACCACUAAAAAAGGUGACAGGUAACGCCUGCCGUCCGCAAGGACAGGGAACCCGCUUAGCGGGGCUAAGAGCGCAACAGAAACAUACAGCUUUACCCUGAGCUUGUCGAAGGGCCUAAGCAAUGGUGAAAUCGUGGGGUAAGAGCCCACGCGGGCGUAUAGCAAUAUACGCGCGGUGCAAACCCCACCUGGUGCAACCUCAAGACGUCCCGCCUCGGCGGGACAGGUAGAGGGCAAAGAUACCGUCAGCGAUGACGGUGCAAGACAGAUGAUUAUCUUCAAUGACAGAAUCCGGCUUACAGCCUAUCAGCAACU
rnacentral:RNase_P_RNA from 2 species